CUUUGGUGUGGCUGCAAGCAGCAGUUGUUGACGGGUGCACUGCAAACUAUCACGAGUGUAACAGUUGGACAGCACCGUGUUGCUCAAAUUCGGUUUGCGUGAGAGAGGGAAUAGAGAGGGAAUAUAUAUGCAAGGACAAAAAGGACGUCUGCUGGAUAUUCUCUGAUGGUGUCAAGACUUGUCUACAGCCUGGAGGGUAACGUAAAAGGAGAUAAUCAAUCAAGGGCUCUACUUCAUGAAGAUUUCAAAGUUUUUCAGAAAAACAAGCUGUCACGACAACUCUUAAAUGCCGAUUUGAUUGUCCGCUAAAGUUGUGAACCUAUAUUUAUUGUUCUACUGCAGAUUAAUCAGUAAACUGAACGUAAAUCUUUCUAUCUUUGCUUUGCUCAUUGUAUUCCUGGCAAGUAAAAUAGGUGUGAGUCAUGUGUGUGGCUAAUUUAAAAGCUUUUUAUCCUAAGUUUUCAAAUAUGCUAAAUGUAAAUACAAAUCACACUAGUCUCUCAUAAGUCGCUCGAAUCAAACUGCCUCAAUACCUGUAUUUG